AUGUGGUAGUCAUAAAUCGAUUGCUUUAGCAACAUUAUUAUAAACUCGUGGAGGUUGACCACGAUGAUACAUGUUUUGCUUGUAUUAUUGAAAACAUUUUAAUGGUAUCCGUCAGUAAAUGUAACAAACUGCUUUUCUUCUUAGCUCAGUAAGGAAGCUAAGCUAGGGAGUUUUUCCCUUGCCAAACAACUCGCAACAUAAAUAUCGACAACUAUCGACGUCUCAAAACUCACAACAGAAAAAGUGGCCGCAGAUGUUGUGACUAUGCGCACCCACCCACUAAAUCUAACCUUAUUCAAAAUUCUUGCAACCACGUGAAGGGAAAAUUUUCUUACCAGAAAUAUAUAUAUAUAUAUUUAUAUAAAAGGAAAAGAAAAGAAAUUAACGUGAAGUGCACGCUCAGGCAAUAAGAUAAAGAUUGGCUUUCUGUUUGUUUAGUACAUUAAAACUAUAAAUCACACCACUGUGUGAGGCUGCAAAAGAAAAAAAGACUGCGCGGAUUCAGCCCUUAACAGCUGCGACUUUAACAAGAGCAAGCUGAUCCUUCUCUUUUUUUCAUUCCCCUUCCAUCUUUUUCUUUUCAUUGCGGUUCAAAGGUCACGCGGUCAGGCAAGGCAAAGCAGGCAGUGGCUAAGCAGGAGCCCUUUGGGGCGCGUACAUAAAACGCACCUAGUUUCCGGACCAGCCUCUUUGCCCCACGUGCCCCAACUAAUACAAUCCGGAUAACAUAACCUAGGACCCAAAUCGGUAUCAAAGCACCUGGAGAUCAACAUCUAGGAGCUGAUAGGAUCCAUAAACCAACAUUUGUGACUAAAAACAACACCUGCAAACUCGACAUGCUAUACUAGAAGCUCAGCCAAUACACAAACCAACUAACAACCAAAAUUUAAUUUAUACGUUGCAGGCCGUACUUCAGGCAGUGCAGAAGAUGAUAGAUCGCGUUACAGAGAGCUUUUAGAACCGAACCAGAGCUGGUUUAGGAAUAAAUAAACAUUAUUUUCAGAAUUAUGCAUUUGGAUUUGCACAAAAAUUAUAACAAGAACACCAGCAUGCCACAUUUCUCCAGGAUCCGGAAGAUCGAUCUUUCGUCGAUGGAAGUAACAACGCGGUGAGUUCGUUCCAUUAUAGACCAUAUUGCAUUUUUUUUUUAUAUUUUGUUUUGAUACAUGCAUAGUAGUAGUAUUAUAAUACCUUAUGAGCUACCAAAUUAAAAUUUAUAUGAAUUUAUCUUAAAGCAAGGAAAAAAAUGGAAAGAUAUAAUUAAUGCAUAAUAUUUUUAGGAAGCUCUAUCUUGAUCUGUUCGAGGCUCAGCAGCAUAUGGCUAGCGACUAAUACUUUUAUAUUGAUCAAGUUUUUUUUAUUAUAUUUGUUUUAACGCCUACUCUUUACUGCUAUGAAAGCCAUUCUCUUUAGUCUUUUUACAUACUCCCUACAUAUAGAAUUAAUUAAUGUUUGUUAUACGCACGCCCAAUGAUGAAUUGUAAUGCCACAUUAAUAAAAACA